CCGAAAGAUGAUCUAGUAGUAGUCCGUGGCGGUCGUGGUUUGACCGUUUGGCGUCUCCAUUGAAACACAUGUAGUGAACGGUGCAGCAGUCUGGUGCGAAUACGCAAUAUACGUCCACGUAAACUACAUCGAUGACGGCAUGGAAGCGAUACUUCAGGCAAGUUUUAUCACAGAGUCCGAGACAGCGACAUAGAAAGGCCUCAACAAGAACAUUAAACUAGCGUUUUGGUAUGCUGAGGACGGCAGCGUGGUUGGGUUCAACCGAGCAGAAGUAAAAAUGCGUGGAGAUGCAUAUCAGCGACAUCUUAAUGAGAACCCCUCAAAUCUACCGAAGGCUUCAAGGCUGAGUACUUUUGUUCUGCACAUGCAAAAAUUUUUUGAACGAUUUAAAUAAAGGGUGAACAGAUGACACAGAUUGUCAUUUGGUGUAGAACGUCA